rnacentral:rRNA from 1 species
CUUGGUCAUUUAGAGGAAGUAAAAGUCGUAACAAGGUCUCCGUUGGUGAACCAGCGGAGGGAUCAUUACCGAGUUUACAACUCCCAAACCCCUGUGAACAUACCUUAAUGUUGCCUCGGCGGAUCAGCCCGCGCCCCGUAAAACGGGACGGCCCGCCAGAGGACCCAAACUCUAAUGUUUCUUAUUGUAACUUCUGAGUAAAACAAACAAAUAAAUCAAAACUUUCAACAACGGAUCUCUUGGUUCUGGCAUCGAUGAAGAACGCAGCAAAAUGCGAUAAGUAAUGUGAAUUGCAGAAUUCAGUGAAUCAUCGAAUCUUUGAACGCACAUUGCGCCCGCUGGUAUUCCGGCGGGCAUGCCUGUUCGAGCGUCAUUUCAACCCUCAAGCCCCCGGGUUUGGUGUUGGGGAUCGGCUCUGCCCUUCUGGGCGGUGCCGCCCCCGAAAUACAUUGGCGGUCUCGCUGCAGCCUCCAUUGCGUAGUAGCUAACACCUCGCAACUGGAACGCGGCGCGGCCAUGCCGUAAAACCCCAACUUCUGAAUGUUGACCUCGGAUCAGGUAGGAAUACCCGCUGAACUUAAGCAUAUCAAUAAGCGGGG